CCAGACUCCUACGGGAGGCAGCAGUGGGGGAUAUUGCACAAUGGGGGCAACCCUGAUGCAGCGACGCCGCGUGAGCGAUGGAGUACUUCGGUAUGUAAAGCUCUGUCAGCAGGGAAGAAAAUGACGGUACCUGAAGAAGAAGCCCCGGCUAACUACGUGCCAGCAGCCGCGGUAAUACGUAGGGGGCAAGCGUUAUCCGGAUUUACUGGGUGUAAAGGGGGCGCAGACGGCGAUGCAAGCCAGGAGUGAAAGCCCGGGGCCCAACCCCGGGACUGCUCUGGAAACUGCGUCGCUGGAGUACGGGAGGGGCAGGCGGAAUUCCUGGUGUAGCGGUGAAAUGCGUAGAUAUCAGGAGGAACACCGGCGGUGAAGGCGGCCUGCUGGACCGUGACUGACGUUGAGGCUCGAGAGCGUGGGGAGCAAACAGGAUUAGAUACCCUAGUAUUG
rnacentral:rRNA from 1 species